rnacentral:snoRNA from 1 species
GAGACAUAAAGAAAACACCCCUGGCAGUCACACACAUCAAAACAUAUGGUUCCUGCCAACAGGGUCUAUAUAGUUAUCAGAUUUCCUGUGUGAUGGCUCCAUACAUG